AUACAGAGGGUGCGAGCGUUAAUCGGAAUUACUGGGCGUAAAGCGCGCGUAGACGGCUUAUUAAGUCAGAUGUGAAAUCCCCGGGCUCAACCUGGGAACUGCAUCUGAUACUGGUAAGCUAGAGUUUUGGAGAGGGAAGUAGAAUUUCAGGUGUAGCGGUGAAAUGCAUAGAGAUCUGAAGGAAUACCAGUGGCGAAGGCGACUUCCUGGCCAAAAACUGACGCUGAGGUGCGAAAGCGUGGGUAGCAAACGGGAUUAGAUACCCUAGUAGUCC
rnacentral:rRNA from 1 species